AAAAAAAAAUGUUUACAGCAUCUAAUGGUUUUAUCUUGCAGUGAAACGCAUCUAAGAAGAUGAAUAAAAUCAAGUUAGCCACAGAGAUGGCAUCGUCCAAGAGCACAGGCAUUUCAUCCAGAGGCAGUGAGUGAACUUUGUGUCCUGAAACCAGAAUCAGUUGGGAAGAAUGGAAUCAAUUCUACCCCAUAAAAGGCUUACACAGGUCCCCUUCCAGAUGCUGAUGUCUUGGCUUCUGGUGCAAAACUAAGUCAGAUUAAUCCCAAGCCUUUGCUGCCACACAUACUUGAGGGCAUGUCAAAAGUAGAGUUGUACCUCUUGGCAGUCCACUUUCAUACCAAUGUCCCCCUAUAGCUGCAGGUGUUCCUAAUGUUAAUUUCCCCCCACUACCUGUGCUUGGUUUUCAGUUUGGCUGUCAUUUUAAAAUAGUCCAGACGGACGAGUGCAUGAUCCAUCUGAAACAUUCCAGUUUGGACUAGUGGAGGUAAAAAGCACUUCUGCUGAAAACAUUGCUCAGGUUCCAUAUAUGAAAAUUCAAAGAGGACUAGCCAAACUUAAAGAGACCCAUAAGUACUACAGGCAGGUACAAGGUCAGACUGCAGACACUGGUCUACACUGGUGUGACUUUGUGACUGACACAAAAUCAGAUUUCAUAAUACAGAUGAUCUGGCGAGAUGAUGCCUUCAUAGCAUCAAUGAAAGUACUAUUAUAACGUUUACCUGGAUGUGUA